rnacentral:rRNA from 1 species
AGUUUGAUCAUGGCUCAGAUUGAACGCUGGCGGCAUGCCUUACACAUGCAAGUCGAACGGCAGCACGGACUUCGGUCUGGUGGCGAGUGGCGAACGGGUGAGUAAUAUAUCGGAACAUACCCUAGAGUGGGGGAUAACGUAGCGAAAGUUACGCUAAUACCGCAUACGCACUAAGGUGGAAAGUGGGGGAUCUUCGGACCUCAUGCUCAUGGAGUGGCCGAUAUCUGAUUAGCUAGUUGGUGAGGUAAAGGCUCACCAAGGCGACGAUCAGUAGCUGGUUUGAGAGAACGACCAGCCACACUGGAACUGAGACACGGUCCAGACUCCUACGGGAGGCAGCAGUGGGGAAUUUUGGACAAUGGGGGCAACCCUGAUCCAGCAAUGCCGCGUGAGUGAAGAAGGCCUUCGGGUUGUAAAGCUCUUUUGUCAGGGAAGAAACGGUGAGUUCUGAUAAAGCUUGCUAAUGACGGUACCUGAAGAAUAAGCACCGGCUAACUACGUG